rnacentral:lncRNA from 1 species
GCAGGCUCUCCCCCGGGAGCCUGCUCAGACCUGCCUUCCUCACAAAGCUCGGUAGCAACUCCCUGGGGCAGAAAAUGUCUCUUCUGAAAGCAAGACAAGAGUUUAAUUAAGCCCUAAACGCACACAGUUGAGCCUGAAAUUAGGGUGGUGAUGGGAGGGGGAGAAGGCAAUCGAGGACGGUGGGUAGCGGGGUGGGCUUCAACGCACUUCUGGCCCAGCUGAGCCAAACAAGCCUACAAGCAAACAUUUACAGAGCCUGUGGGCGUGGCUACAAAGCCUCUCUGACCUGGAGAGGGGAGAAUGCCACGUUUCCUGUCCUGUUUGGGCUCUCCCCAGGUUGUUGCUCAGACAGUCAAACCACAGCCUCCUCCUCUACCUGGCAAUUAAUCCUGCUGUGCCCUGCAACCUGGGUUGGGUCUUACUCUGCCAGGGACUGAAGCAAGAAGAGACGGGCCACCGGGCGUGUUAUCGCUUGUCUCUGGGGCAGAGAAGCGGUUGCAACAGAGCCCCUGCGUGCGUGUGGACGUGCCUGCGUGGAGCAAUGAGCACACCAAGACAGAGGUUCAGUAUCUUGCCGAAAGUUGAGAGGAGAAGCUACGAAUAAGACCAGCUCUGGCUCCCAAUCCACCCCACAGCUUUUGAUGGUACUCAGUGGUACACCCUUGGACCCCGAUGGUGUGGGCAGUUCUCCCACAGGUCUGGCCCGAGUCUCUCCUACUCUCGUCUGAAUUGGAUCAGAUGGAAGGACCAUGUCAGUAGGUCGGUUCUGCUCCCAACCCAGCCUCAAGAGACAUCACCCAUCCCUUGGUACAGGUGGUAGCCUUCCAGUUACUGGGGUGGGGAUGUUUGCCUUCUGUUAAUGAAAAGAA